UGAAUUUCAUAGUGAGACUCUCUCUCAAAGAAACAAAAGUAAAAACAAAAUAAAACAGAAAAAAAAAAUUUUAAUCACUGGUUAAGUAGAAAGGACCAACCACUCAGCAAACCUUUCUAUUAUCCUGAAACUUUGCUGUGAUGCACAGACCUAAAUUCCAAUGGAAAAAUCACAGAAUACAGCAACCUGGAUGCAAAGAAGUGGAGAAGAGUCAGAGGGUACCAGGUUGGAGAGAGCAGAAAUGUCAUUUAUUUCUCAGGCUAUGGAGUUAGAAGAACCCAUAGAAAUUAAUAUGAGAGAAAAUCAGGACAGAUAACGGGCUGGAAGACAAGAAGUGCCGUUUUAUUUCCCUUACCUCCAUGGUUCUUUAUACUCCAUUUACUCACUUGCGCUCUGUCUCUCUCUCUGUCUCUCUCUGGCUCUGUGUUAUUAACAAUUAAUAAUAGCUUUAAGAUUUCGUAGCUGUAAGAUUUAGUGAUUACAUUAAUAUAUUUUCCAUACUUCUACCUAGCUUUCAUAUAGGUCUUCAUAUUUAAAAUGGGUUUGUUUUAGAAAGUACACUGUUGUUUCUUAUUUUUAUGUAAUUUGACAAUUUCUUUCUUAAUGGAAGCAUUUUGAUCAUAUAUAUUAAAAUAAUUUCUGUAGACAUGCAUUUAAGUCAACUGGCUUUCUAGUUGUUUUCCAUGUUUCAUCAUUUUCUUAUUCUUAAUUUUCCUGUUUUUCUGCCUGAUGGUGGAUUUAGUAUUUUUAUCAUUCAGUUAUAUUUUCUCUACUCUUGGCUUAUUAGCUAGGUCACUUUAAAAAAAAUAGUAGUUGCUCUAGGGUU